UCAGAUAAAUUAUUCUUAAUAAUCUGAACCAUUAAUUGUUUUAAAAUCUUAAUAAUAAGGCGAAAGCAACUUGCAAAUAAAAACGGUUAAAAUAAGGACGUAACUUUUUUGAAUAUCAUUUUACAGUUAGGAGAAAGAGCAUAAGAAUAGCUUGUGAAAUCAAUUCUUUUCUGGUUAAAGUUAAACUUCAAAAUAACCAUUAAUCAGUGGAUAAUCUGUUGAUGAUGGAAGUGAUAAAAACAAGAGGAUUCUAUGUAAUAUUCUCUUGUUCCUUAUAUUUCUUUGUCCUGGUUACAUUCAAAUCUAAAAAUAUGUUACCAACUGUAACUUUUGCAACCAAACGUAUCUCAUAGUCUUCUCAUGGUUUCAUCUUUUUUCUCAAUUAUAUUCAUUGUACAGUUGAAAUACAAUUGUAAUUGGAGGAAUGUUAAACAGAGGCAAAGCAAAGAUACAAAAUCAAGCAAGAUCAAAGACUGAUUAGACACAAUUGACUUGGCAACAAAUCAUAUUGCUGAAUGAUUCAAGAUUACAUUUCAACUUUUGGAUUUCAAAUAGUUUUCCGGGCAAACGCAAUUCCAUGGCAAUUAUUUUGGAGGACUUUUUAUAUCCACAAGAAUUGAGAGACCCUGGAAUAGAGUCCGAACCAUUUGAUUUAAACAAUAGAAACAAUCAUCAACCAUCAGAUAAGGAACCACACUUCUGGUCUACAUUAAGAAGCUACAAAUAAGCUUAUUUCAAAUUGAAUAGACAACAAAGUGACUAAUUGUUGGUAAAAUAUCUCAAAGCUGCUGUUGUAACUAUUGAUGGUUAUACAAUUGAUGCAACAGAUGAUAGCAAUUGUAUUAAGAUGAAGAUGCCAAAAUAAUCCAACCUUUAUUCAAGAAAAGACUGUGACUUUGAAAAUGAGUUAUUUCCAUCAUCUGAAGCUAAUUUUUCAGCAAUCAACCUUUUGUUUCUACCAUUUGAACUAUGUAAAUCUUGUUGGGUUGUUUAUUUAAUUGGGAAAAGUAUUCUGUCUCAGUGUUGAUUUGCUCAUUUCACUGUUAAAUUGAGAUUCAAUUACACUGUCAAGUUAAAAUUAUCUUCAACAUAAAACCUUUUUUCUUGGCUUCGCCAACUAUUCCCAGUUAAUCAAUCAUGAUCAUGUAAUUGUGCCCAUCGAUAACUUACACCAAUCCUUCAACCAAAAGACAAUCACAUUAUCUUAUAUAAUCAGAUUGACAUAAACUCUGUGACAUAAAAUUAACCCCAAUUUACUCAUAAAUCAUUUAUUGUACAACUUGUUUCAACUUGUUGCAAGAAAACAAACUCAAUUUUCACAUUGAACAAAGAUUGUCAAAUUUUUAAUUAAAAUCAACAUAUUUCUUA